GAGAAACAGAGGGGAGCAGAGAGAGAGAGAGCGGGGGAGAGAGAGAGAGAGAGACAACCUACCUCCAUCCUUUUUCUCCCUCUCACUCCAUCCUGUAGCAUCCCAGGCAGUGUCAAACAUUCCCUCCGAUCUGACGGUGAAUCACAAACAACAUUAAAGAUUGAAUG